GUUAAGUUUAUUUUGAUGUUGCUCUAUUAAAGUUAAAACCACAAGCAAACAAUUCGCAAAGGCACAAACAACAUUUGGCGUAAAAAACUGUUCACGAAAUUAAGAUUGCCCUGUACACCAACCGCCACUUCGAAAAUAAAUCCAUCCCUGCGGAAAACGAAAGGCCCAUUCGCAAGGCGUCGCGGCAGCCUGACAAGAGUACCUAGGCCACAUCAGCAAAAAUUGAACGGCACUUUUUCGCUUCGUCUUCGCGAGUGGUAGCAUCGCCGCCAUCAUCAGGCGACAUCAACUAAAAGUGAAAAACUUUAGGCCACGAGGCGGAAUCACUUUGUGGCAAAGUAAUUGCCUUCGAGUUAGUGUGCUUUCGUCCGGAACGGUUACCUUUGCCAGCCAGAAGGUGUUCUCGAGGCGACGGCACUAAAUUCCGGAGUUCCUUCUGAGGAGAACGACUAAAGACUCCGAUGCAUGAAGUCUCCACUCGCCAGGAGUGUCAGAAGCCGUCUUAUAGAAGGUCAUGCAUCGAGAGCGGAUCACGUGGAAACGCAGAAACACUACAAUCGUCGGAAACCAGACACGAAACGGUCUAAGUAGUUGGUCAGCAACCAGAUAGACCGAAAAUUCCCCAUCUAACGGGUAAGUCCAAAUGAUUCAACCGAAGAUCAAUCGUGAUAAUGAUGUGCGUGCCUUCCAGGGUGUUUUUGAAGGACUAACGUUUGGCUUGGCUGCGAUUUGGUCAGACUGUUAGCUUGCGUGACCGCUACUCUACCGGAUUAUAGUUUCGUCGGAAAGGUUGUGCAUAUCUGCCGGACGGGUAGAAGGAUAGGAUCACUUGACAGUCGCCGUCGAGUUGCGGAUCGGUUUUGUCGGGUCAUUGCGGAAGACGGUGACCGCUGUCUUCGGAUAGCUUCUCCCAACCCACCGGACGAUCAGAUCGUUGGCUUCGGAAGGAACCGAACCGGAGGCGGAAGCAGAACGAGAACGCUAAGGGUGCGAAAAUCUCGACGAGGGAAUCAGACGCCUCGGAGAGAUCCCAUCCAGCAACGCGGUCGCACUGGACGGCCAGAGGGGUCUCCAGCGGAGGACGUUCGUCGGACGAGUGGCGCGAUGGCAGUGUGUGCGAGGCGGGCAAUCCCGGCGGCAUGUGAGCCGUCAGAAAGUUGGUAGGCCAGGGUGCACCCAAGAAGAAAAUUCGUGAGUACGCAUGAGGUUAGCUUGUAAGCAGAAGAUUUAGAGAACAUUAGGGAACAUUAGAUGACAGGAGCAGUGGAAGAAACAUCAAUGAGCUUCGAAUAUAUGUAUUGAUUGAGCAUUCAUGGCACUUGUCGAAUUUCAUUUAAUUGUUGAGCAUUUGUCCUCCAGUUUGUGUGCAUUUUGUCCGCUUUAGCA